rnacentral:rRNA from 1 species
GACGAACUCUGGCGGCGUGCUUAACACAUGCAAGUCGAACGGAAAGGCCCUGCUUUUGUGGGGUGCUCGAGUGGCGAACGGGUGAGUAACACGUGAGUAACCUGCCCUUGACUUUGGGAUAACUUCAGGAAACUGGGGCUAAUACCGGAUAGGAGCUCCUGCUGCAUGGUGGGGGUUGGAAAGUUUCGGCGGUUGGGGAUGGACUCGCGGCUUAUCAGCUUGUUGGUGGGGUAGUGGCUUACCAAGGCUUUGACGGGUAGCCGGCCUGAGAGGGUGACCGGCAAAAUGGGGAAGGAGAUACGGCCCAAACUCCUACGGGGGGAAGCGGGGGGGAAUAUUGCAAAAUGGGCGGAAGCGUGAGGCAGAAACCCCGGGGGCGGGAUGACGGCCUUGGGGUUGUAAACGGCUUUCGCCUGGGACGAAGGGGGGGUGAGGGUAAGGGGAAAAGAAACACCGGAAAAAUACGG